rnacentral:rRNA from 1 species
AUGAACGCUGGCGGCGUGCUUAACACAUGCAAGUCGAACGAGAAAUGUAGACGGAAACCUUCGGGCGGAAGCCUUCAUUUCGAGUGGCGGACGGGUGAGUAACGCGUGGGUAACCUGCCUCAUACAGGGGGAUAACAGUUGGAAACGACUGUUAAUACCGCAUAAGACCACAGCAUCGCAUGAUGCGGGGGUAAAAACUCCGGUGGUAUGAGAUGGACCCGCGUUCGAUUAGCCAGUUGGCGGGGUAACGGCCCACCAAAGCGACGAUCGAUAGCCGAUCUGAGAGGAUGACCGGCCACAUUGGGACUGAGACACGGCCCAAACUCCUACGGGAGGCAGCAGUGGGGAAUAUUGCACAAUGGGGGAAACCCUGAUGCAGCGACGCCGCGUGAGUGAAGAAGUACUUCGGUAUGUAAAGCUCUAUCAGCAGGGAAGAAAAUGACGGUACCUGAGUAAGAAGCCCCGGCUAACUACGUG